rnacentral:tRNA from 1 species
GGGGAUUUAGCUCAGCGGCAUAAGCACCUGCCUUGCAAGCAGGAGGUUGUGAGUUCAGUCCCCG